rnacentral:rRNA from 1 species
CGGCGAGUGAAGCGGUAACAGCUCAAAUUUGAAAUCUGGCCUCACGGUCCGAGUUGUAAUUUGUAGAGGAUGCUUCGAGCAUGGUCUGGCCUAAGUUCCUUGGAACAGGACGUCAUAGAGGGUGAGAAUCCCGUAUGCGGCCAGGUGCCUACGCUCAUGUGAAGCUCCUUCGACGAGUCGAGUUGUUUGGGAAUGCAGCUCAAAAUGGGUGGUAAAUUUCAUCUAAAGCUAAAUAUUGGCCAGAGACCGAUAGCGCACAAGUAGAGUGAUCGAAAGAUGAAAAGCACUUUGGAAAGAGAGUUAAACAGUACGUGAAAUUGUUGAAAGGGAAGCGCUUGCAACCAGACUUGCGCGCGGCCGAUCAUCCGGUGUUCUCACCGGUGCACUCGGCCGUGCUCAGGCCAGCAUCGGUUUUGGCGGCUGGAUAAAGGCCCUAGGAAUGUAGCUCCUCUCGGGGAGUGUUAUAGCCUAGGGUGCAAUGCAGCCUGCUGGGACCGAGGACCGCGC